rnacentral:rRNA from 1 species
GAUGAACGCUGGCGGCGUGCCUAAUACAUGCAAGUCGAGCGAACAGACGAGGAGCUUGCUCCUCUGACGUUAGCGGCGGACGGGUGAGUAACACGUGGAUAACCUACCUAUAAGACUGGGAUAACUUCGGGAAACCGGAGCUAAUACCGGAUAAUAUAUUGAACCGCAUGGUUCAAUAGUGAAAGACGGUUUUGCUGUCACUUAUAGAUGGAUCCGCGCCGCAUUAGCUAGUUGGUAAGGUAACGGCUUACCAAGGCAACGAUGCGUAGCCGACCUGAGAGGGUGAUCGGCCACACUGGAACUGAGACACGGUCCAGACUACUACGGGAGGCAGCAGUAGGGAAUCUUCCGCAAUGGGCGAAAGCCUGACGGAGCAACGCCGCGUGAGUGAUGAAGGUCUUCGGAUCGUAAAACUCUGUUAUUAGGGAAGAACAAAUGUGUAAGUAACUAUGCACGUCUUGACGGUAACUAAUCAGAAAGCCACGGCUAACUACGUG